rnacentral:rRNA from 1 species
UACGUAGGGUCCAAGCGUUGUCCGGAAUUAUUGGGCGUAAAGAGCUCGUAGGUGGUGUGUCGCGUCGGAUGUGAAAUCCCGGAGCUUAACUCCCGGGUCUGCAUUCGGUACGGGCAUGCUGGAGUUCGGUAGGGGAGACUGGAAUUCCUGGUGUAGCGGUGAAAUGCGCAGAUAUCAGGAGGAACACCGGUGGCGAAGGCGGGUCUCUGGGCCGAUACUGACACUGAGGAGCGAAAGCGUGGGGAGCAAACAGG